AUUGAACGCUGGCGGCAGGCCUAACACAUGCAAGUCGAACGGUAACAGGAAGAAGCUUGCUUCUUUGCUGACGAGUGGCGGACGGGUGAGUAAUGUCUGGGAAACUGCCUGAUGGAGGGGGAUAACUACUGGAAACGGUAGCUAAUACCGCAUAACGUCGCAAGACCAAAGAGGGGGACCUUCGGGCCUCUUGCCAUCGGAUUUGCCCAGAUGGGAUUAGCUAGUAGGUGGGGUAACGGCUCACCUAGGCGACGAUCCCUAGCUGGUCUGAGAGGAUGACCAGCCACACUGGAACUGAGACACGGUCCAGACUCCUACGGGAGGCAGCAGUGGGGAAUAUUGCACAAUGGGCGCAAGCCUGAUGCAGCCAUGCCGCGUGUAUGAAGAAGGCCUUCGGGUUGUAAAGUACUUUCAGCGGGGAGGAAGGGAGUAAAGUUAAUACCUGUGCUCAUUGACGUUACCCGCAGAAGAAGCACCGGCUAACUCCGUG
rnacentral:rRNA from 1 species